GACCCGGUGGUGAAGUGGUUUCGCAUCUGCGCAGUUUAGGUCCUCGCAUGCGUAGUUUUCGCGGAAGACACCCGUUCGAUUUGGGUCUGGGUCG